AAGAAACAUAAGGAACGUAACAAAUGAUCCUAAAUAUUCUUGGUUAUGGUCACGUUGAGGCUGAGAAGGACACAAGGCAUCAUGUUCAUGCCAAAACCACUUGAAAAGCACUUCUUGUGCCAUUGCAUUCAAGACACUUUAUCUAUGAAGAGCUUCUCUCCGAAACAUCAGAUCUGAAUCAACACCUUUAAAAAUGCAAUACAGGACACAUGUACAGACAGAGCCUGUAAAGACGCUCAAACCGUCAGAGAGGACUUUGUUGAAGGACAGAAUGAGAACUACACUCUACCAAUCUACAUGAAGAAAACAGAGCAUCAUAAUCAGCUGCUACCUCUAGUAUUAUUAUGAUUAUCGGUAUUAUUGAUAUAAUUUUUUAUUAUUCAGAUUUUAUUUUUAUUUGUCUGUAUGUUCUAAUAUGCCACCAAUCUGCAGUUAUGUUGAGAUGUAUUGGAUUUAAAUCCAUUGUAAGCUUUAUUACGGAAACAUUUAUAUUAUUAUUUUUUUUUUUUUGUGUGUGUUUUCCUGUCCCCGUAACUUUAAGCUAAUUGCAUUGUAAGACCACUAGGCAUCAGAGUUUAUAGUGUUAUUAUGUGUAUCAUACAAUACGAGAUCUUAAAAUAAUCUUCUGAUGAUUGUAUAAUAAUGUUCUGAAAUUUGUUAAAAAAUAAUUUAUUUGAAAAACAUAUUCCUGUCAUGUUUAUGGCAAGUCAAAUCAAAAGAUUGGGAAACUUUGAAUAGAGUUUAUAUUGUUUGACCCAAUAUAUACAUAAUAUUUUA